rnacentral:rRNA from 1 species
GCGGCCUAUCAGCUUGUUGGUGAGGUAAUGGCUCACCAAGGCGACGACGGGUAGCCGGCCUGAGAGGGCGACCGGCCACACUGGGACUGAGACACGGCCCAGACUCCUACGGGAGGCAGCAGUGGGGAAUAUUGGGCAAUGGAGGGAACUCUGACCCAGCGACGCCGCGUGCGGGAUGAAGGCCUUCGGGUUGUAAACCGCUUUCAGCAAGGAAGAAGCGAAAGUGACGGUACUUGCAGAAGAAGCACCGGCUAACUAUGUGCCAGCAGCCGCGGUAAUACAUAGGGUGCAAGCGUUGUCCGGAAUUAUUGGGCGUAAAGAGCUCGUAGGUGGUUCGUCACGUCGGAUGUGAAAAUCUGGGGCUUAACCCCAGACCUGCAUUCGAUACGGGCGAGCUAGAGUUUGGUAGGGGAGACUGGAAUUCCU